rnacentral:rRNA from 1 species
AACGAACGCUGGCGGCAUGCCUAACACAUGCAAGUCGAACGAGACCUUCGGGUCUAGUGGCGCACGGGUGCGUAACGCGUGGGAACCUGCCCUUAGGUUCGGCAUAACUCCCCGAAAGGGGUGCUAAUACCGGAUAAUGUCUUCGGACCAAAGAUUUAUUGCCUUUGGAUGGGCCCGCGUUGGAUUAGCUAGUUGGUAGGGUAAAAGCCUACCAAGGCGACGAUCCAUAGCUGGGCUGAGAGGCUGAUCAGCCACACUGGGACUGGGACACGGCCCAGACUCCUACGGGAGGCAGCAGUGGGGAAUAUUGGACAAUGGGCGAAAGCCUGAUCCAGCAAGGCCGCGUGAGUGAUGAAGGCCUUAGGGUUGUAAAGCUCUUUUACCCGGGAUGAUAAUGACAGUACCGGGAGAAUAAGCUCCGGCUAACUCCGUG